CUAUGCGCCUUGCCAGCCCGCUCAGUCAGAGUUUGAUCCUGGCUCAGGAUGAACGCUAGCGGGAGGCCUAACACAUGCAAGCCGAGCGGUAUUGUUUCUUCGGAAAUGAGAGAGCGGCGUACGGGUGCGGAACACGUGUGCAACCUGCCUUUAUCUGGGGGAUAGCCUUUCGAAAGGAAGAUUAAUACUCCAUAAUAUAUUGAACGGCAUCGUUUAAUAUUGAAAGCUCCGGCGGAUAGAGAUGGGCACGCGCAAGAUUAGCUAGUUGGUGAGGUAACGCUCACCAAGGCGAUGAUCUUUAGGGGCCUGAGAGGUGAUCCCCCACACUGGUACUGAGACACGGACCAG
rnacentral:rRNA from 1 species